rnacentral:rRNA from 1 species
GAUGAACGCUGGCGGCGUGCCUAAUACAUGCAAGUAGAACGCUGAAGGAGGAGCUUGCUCUUCUGGAUGAGUUGCGAACGGGUGAGUAACGCGUAGGUAACCUGCCUGGUAGCGGGGGAUAACUAUUGGAAACGAUAGCUAAUACCGCAUGACAACAGCUAUUGCAUGAUAACUGUUUAAAAGGGGCAACUGCUCCACUACCAGAUGGACCUGCGUUGUAUUAGCUAGUUGGUGAGGUAACGGCUCACCAAGGCGAGGAUACAUAGCCGCCCGGAGAGGGGGAUCGGCCAGCCUGGGACUGAGACACGCCCCAGACUCCUACGGGCAGCGGCAGUAGGGCAUCUGCGGCAAUCGACGGAAGUCUGACCGAGCAACGCCGCGUGAGUGAAGAAGGUUUUCGGAUCGUGAAGCUCUGUUGUCAGGGAAGAACGAGUGUGAGAGUGGAAAGUUCACACUGUGACGGUAUCUUACCAGAAAGGGACGGCUAACUACGUG